AGGAAGCCAUUUUGAGUAACUUCCUCAGGCAGGGCUGGGAGCAGAGAAGGGUCCAGAGGAAGGAACGGGCCUAGUUCCCACCACCAGCGUCGAGUGGGCUGGUCCUGUCCCCACAGAAGACACCACCAGGAAAGAAAGGAAGGGGGUGACAAGGAGACAGACCAUCCUUACGCAAAGGGAGGGAACUCAGCGAAGGAAUUUGGAGGGCUGCCUUUCAAAUGGUUAGCAGGCAGGUUUUUCUCCUGCGGUUACUGAAUGUGAAUAGUACCAUGAGAACGUCAUUGUUAACUCGGCCAGUACCCUGCGCUUCCCCAGCUGCAGGCCUUUCACAGGAGGACCACAAAGCACUUCGAGAUUGUUAAUUAACUGAGCCUACAGCUCCCCGGGAGCUGGUGGCAGAGGAGCUCAGGCAAAGGAGUGGGGGACAAGUGGAGUGAACUGAGGGAGAAAGACACCGGCA